rnacentral:rRNA from 1 species
GACGAACGCUGGCGGCGUGCUUAACACAUGCAAGUCGAACGGAAAGGCCCUGCUUUUGUGGGGUUCUCGAGUGGCGAACGGGUGUGUAACACGUGAGUAACCUGCCCUUGACUGUGGGAUAACUUCAGGAAACUGGGGCUAAUACCGGAUAGGAGCUCCUGCUGCAUGGUGGGGGUUGGAAAGUUUCGGCGGUUGGGGAUGGUCUCGCGGCUUAUCAGCUUGUUGGUUGGGUAGUGGCUUACCAAGGCUUUGACGGGUAGCCGGCCUGGGAGGGUUGCCGGCCACAUUGGGACUGAGGUACGGCCCAGUCUCCUACGGGAGGCAACAGUGGGGAAUCUUGCACAAUGGGGGGGAGCCUGAUGCAGCAACGCCGCGUGCGGGAUGACGGCCUACGGGUUGUAAACCGCUUUCGCCUGUGACGAAGCGUGAGUGACGGUAAUGGGUAAAGAAGCAACGGCUAACUACGUG